ensembl:misc_RNA Metazoa_SRP Metazoan signal recognition particle RNA
GCAGGGCGCGGUGGUGCGUGCCUGUAAUCCCAGCUGCUUGGGAGGCUGAGGCAGGAGAAUCGCUUGAACCCAGGAGGUGGAGGUUGCAGUGAGCUGACGCCGUGUCACUGCACUCCAGCCUGGGUGACAAAGUGAGACUCCGUCUCAA